rnacentral:rRNA from 1 species
UGUUGAAACUCAGGAACAAAGCGACCGCGCUGAAAGUAUCGCGAAAGCCGUUGAUGGCGUAAAAAGUGUUAAAAACGAUCUGAAAGUUCAGUAAUUCGUCGUAAUUCGUCCUCCCGACGUUUGUCGGUGUUCGGGUUGUCAUGCCAAUGGCACUGCCCGGUAGCUAAAUGCGGAAGAGAUAAGUGCUGAAAGCAUCUAAGCACGAAACUUGCCCCGAGAUGAGUUCUCCCUGAGACUUAGAGUCUCCUGAAG